GACAAACGCUGGCGGCGUGCUUAACACAUGCAAGUCGAACGGAAAGGCCCUGCUUUUGUGGGGUGCUCGAGUGGUGAACGGGUGAGUAACACGUGAGUAACCUGCCCUUGACUUUGGGAUAACUUCAGGAAACUGGGGCUAAUACCGGAUAGGAGCUCCUGCUGCAUGGUGGGGGUUGGAAAGUUUCGGCGGUUGGGGAUGGACUCGCGGCUUAUCAGCUUGUUGGUGGGGUAGUGGCUUACCAAGGCUUUGACGGGUAGCCGGCCUGAGAGGGUGACCGGCCACAUUGGGACUGAGAUACGGCCCAGACUCCUACGGGAGGCAGCAGUGGGGAAUAUUGCACAAUGGGCGGAAGCCUGAUGCAGCAACGCCGCGUGCGGGAUGACGGCCUUCGGGUUGUAAACCGCUUUCGCCUGUGACGAAGCGUGAGUGGCGGUAAUGGGUAAAGAAGCACCGGCUAACUACGUG
rnacentral:rRNA from 1 species